GCAGUGGCGGGCUGCACAGGCUCCCAGGAAGGUAGAUGUGGAUAGUGACCUGUGCUUGCACGCAGGCUUCUUGGUGGCGGCAGCAGCAGCCUUAGCAUCCCAUGCCCGUCUCUGGGGUCCGUGCUGAUAGCCGCGGCUCGUGCCCGUCUCUGGAGCUCCUUUAAGCGGCACUGUUAAUCUCCUCUGAUUGCGCACCAGGAAACAAAGAGGCAAGAAAACGUCUCUUGCCUCUUCGGCAACUCCAGGCUUUUUUCCGGACUCCCUCCUGGCUUGCUGUGGCACACUAGCCCCCUUCAGGCUGUGUUCACGCAGCCAACCCCAGUCCUUUCCUUGGGAUCCGACCUCCUAAGCCCAAGCCUCAGCUCCCAGCCCCGGCCCGCCUAGACCGUGUAGACCGUGCUUUGUUCUCCCUAAAAAGUGGACAUUUACAGAGACAUUUUGACAUACAUGAUCUGCUUUUAAGAAGAUUUGAGCAACCCAAAGAGGUAGCAUGGUUAUUACUUCCACCUUGAUGGAUGGAGACCAUAAAGAAGACAGAGUUUGAGCACCUGGCCCCAAAUCCCAAUACUGUUAAGAGGUGAGCAGCGGAUUUGAACCCAGAUCCUUUCUGACUCCAGAGCCCCUAUGCUGCACUGCCACAGGACUUCACACCAAUUUCUUCCCAACAUGUCAAGGUGGGACUGAAUUGCUAUAAAAACCCAAGAUGUGAUCUGGGAGAAUGUUCCAUGUGCACUUGAGAAGAAUGUGUAUUCUGCUGCUUUCAGAUGGAAUGUCCUAUAAAUAUCAACAUCUUCUUAAUCCUUCAAUGCUACUGCAUGUUUCAUGUGACUCAAGUGAUCAUCUGUGGCCACUCCAUCCCAAGGUUCACUAGUAUAAGGAGGGACUCUGAGGUCUCCUUGACUCCUUAUCUUGCUCUGAAGAGAAUUUUUUCUGGAUGGUCUGCAGCAGCGUGAAUUUCUUCCUU